rnacentral:lncRNA from 1 species
CUCUCUAAAUCAGCUUUCAAUUCUGCCCAAGCCUGAUGGAAAAAGAAAGGGGGAAGGGGACUUGAAAAAAAAAAGUUUUCAAAAGCAGGGAUUGUGUGUUGCUGUUAGAACAAAUUGUUAAAUUAAAUUAGCGUUACAUUUCAUUCCUAGCCCCUAGGAGAUUCGGGGACUUAGAGAAGGUGCUCUCUUGAAUUUGGUCGUUAAGUGUAAACUUAAGGUUUCUGUUUUCCAGCCCAAAGAAAGGAUGCCUGGACUGGUGAUGUCAUAAUGGCGUCCUUUUCAAAGAAUAUUAAGUUAAAGGAAAACACCGUUGGAUAAACUGACUUCAAUGGGACUUUGAGAUAGGGAAAUAAAAGGGGUUACAUGGUAUAGUAGAAAAUGGGAUUGAUUCAAAGUCAAGAGUAUUUGGGUUCCUUUCCUGCUACAUUACCUAUUCCCCUUGGGUCUAUCGGACAAAUCAUUUCUCAU